rnacentral:tRNA from 1 species
GGCGACGUAGCUCAGCGGUAGAGCAGGGGACUCAUAAGCCCUGGGUCGUUGGUUCAAAUCCAACCGUCGCCACUA